CAGCCGCCGCGGUAAUACGUAGGUGGCAAGCGUUGUCCGGAAUUAUUGGGCGUAAAGGGCUCGCAGGCGGUUCCUUGAGUCUGAUGUGAAAGCCCCCGGCUCAACCGGGGAGGGUCAUUGGAAACUGGGAAACUUGAGUGCAGAAGAGGAGAGUGGAAUUCCACGUGUAGCGGUGAAAUGCGUAGAGAUGUGGAGGAACACCAGUGGCGAAGGCGACUCUCUGGUCUGUAACUGACGCUGAGGAGCGAAAGCGUGGGGAGCGAACAGGAUUAGAUACCCCGGUAGUCCCUGUCUCUUAUAC
rnacentral:rRNA from 1 species